CCGUGCAAGUGCAGGAAACAGCUUCCGGGUAUCCGAGGUGAGGUUCACCUUAGAUAUUCCAACAACUGAUGAGCGACCUCUUAUUUCCACGAGCAGGAGCUUCAACCUUGCAGCUCGGGGCACGGGACACACACAGUCCUCAAUGGGUGACUGGGAGGAAUGGCAGGUGGAACAACGUUGGCUUCCACCUCUUGAUUCCUAGUCCCAUGGAGCCUUCCUACUGGGGACACGGCUCUACACAGAGCUCUCUGAUUUAAUAGGUGUGGUAGGCUGACUCCUCAAAGGUGUCCAUGUCCUGAUCACCAGAACCUGUGAAUAUGCUAUCUUACAUGGUAAAUGGAACUUUGAAGAUGUGGCUGAGUAAAGGAUUUUGAGAAAAGGAGAUUAUUCUGCAUUAUCCUGGUGGGUCCAAUGUACAACGGUCUUUGUAAGAGGGAAUCGGCAGUGUGGGAGUCAGAGAGAGAAGACAUAAGGACAAAAGAGAGCUCAGAAAGGACAGACGAUGCUGUGUUGCUGGCUUUGAAGAUGGAGGAAGAGGCUGCAACCCAAGGACUGCAGGUGACCUCUGGAAGGUGGAAAAGGCAAGGAACUGGAUUCCUCCCUAGACCCUCUAGAAGGAGUACAACCCGGAGGGACCAUUUUAGACUUCUGACCUCCAGAAAUGUAAUCACUCAAAUCAUUUUCUGGUCUGUGGUUCAGAUGAACAAUACUUGUUAAAAAAGGAUCCAUGAAAGGUUAUAGAACCACUAAGUGGUUGAACUAGGAAGAAGUGGGUAGAACCUAGGUUUUCUGACCUAGUAUUUAUUCCAGGAUGCUUUUCUUAGUUCUUACCACUAAGCAGAGAAAAGUACUGGCAAGCAAGCAGCAGUUCAUGUCAUUCAGGAGAGAUGAGGGGAUACAAGAUCAAAUGUUCUGUUUUCAAAUAAAUGAAAGCCUAUUAAUGUGAUAUUAUGAGCUUUUUUUCCCCUUAAACAAUUCACAACUGGGAAUACAUUAUCUCCUAAUAAAUUACCAAGGAAUUUUAGAUUUAGCAAUUUAUUUUAGUUUUUGGGCUCUGUACAGCAGGUUGGAGGAAUAGUUUUAUUGUUAAACUUUCAAGCUAUGUGAAAGGUGGAGCUAAGGUAGACUUCAUGUUUCUGAAAUACUAUUUUCUGUGUUUAUAUGAAAUUAACAGAAAGGAAUGUUAAAAAGAAACAACCGGGACUUCCCUGGC